UACGUAGGGUGCGAGCGUUAAUCGGAAUUACUGGGCGUAAAGCGUGCGUAGGCGGUUCGUUGUGUCUGUGGUGAAAGCCCCGGGCUUAACCUGGGAAUGGCCAUGGAAACUGGCGAGCUGGAGUGUGGCAGAGGGGGGUGGAAUUCCGCGUGUAGCAGUGAAAUGCGUAGAGAUGCGGAGGAACACCGAUGGCGAAGGCAGCCCCCUGGGCUAACACCGACGCUGAGGCACGAAAGCGUGGGGAGCAAACAGG
rnacentral:rRNA from 1 species